rnacentral:lncRNA from 1 species
CGAGCGUGUCUUUGACGGCCUCGGCAUCACUGACGAUGCCCCUUUCACUGAGACAGUCAGGGGCGCGGCCAUCCAGCUCUUUGGAUUCGCCGAGGCCAUCAGCAUCGGCCGCCGGUCACCAGAGAAGCUCUUCAAGAUCCUCGACCUCCAUGACACCAUCUCCGACCUCCUCCCGGACAUCGCCGCCGUAUUCCUAUCCAAGUCUGCCGAGUCCAUCUACACCCAGGCCGCCGAGAUUCUCUCCCGGCUCGCCGAGGCCGUCCGAGGCAUUCUCUCGGAAUUCGAGAACGCAGUGCUUCGAGAUCCACCCAAG